UCUUCGGGGAUGAUUAAACCGGCGCACGGGUGAGUAACACGUGAGUGACCUGCCUUUUAGACUGGAACAACUUACCGAAAGGUGAGCUAAUGCCGGAUGAGUUAUAUAAGUGCAUGUUUAUAUAGGAAAAGUUGGGGAGACCUGACGCUGAAAGAUGGACUCGCGUCCCAUUAGCUAGUUGGUAGGGUAAUGGCCUACCAAGGCGACGAUGGGUAGCCGGCCUGAGAGGGUGGCCGGCCACACUGGGACUGAGACACGGCCCAGACUCCUACGGGAGGCAGCAGUGGGGAAUUUUGCGCAAUGCUCGUAAGAGUGACGCAGCGACGCCGCGUGAAUGACGAAGGCCUUCGGGUCGUAAAGUUCUUUCGACAGGGAAGAAAAUGCCUAUAAGUAACUGUGUAUGUAUUGACGGUACCUGUAUAAGCAGCCCCGGCUAACUCCGUGCCAGCAGCCGCGGUAAUACGGAGGGGGCGAGCGUUGUUCGGAGUGACUGGGCGUAAAGAGCACGUAGGCGCUGUUGUAAGUCAUUAGUCAAAGACUAGAGCUCAACUUUAGUAAGGCUAGUGAUACUAUAAUACUAGAGUAUCAGAGAGGAUUGCAGAAUUCCUGGUGUAGCGGUGAAAUGCGUAGAUAUCAGGAGGAAUACCGUUAGCGAAGGCGGCAAUCUGGCUGGAAACUGACGCUGAGGUGCGAAAGCGUGGGUAGCAAACAGGAUUAGAUACCCUGGUAGUCCACGCUGUAAACGAUGGAUGCUAGGUGUUGGGCUUUUAAGUUCAGUG
rnacentral:rRNA from 1 species